AGUGAACGCUGGCGGCAGGCCUAAUACAUGCAAGUCGAACGGCAGCACAGCAGAGCUUGCUCUGUGGGUGGCGAGUGGCGGACGGGUGAGGAAUACAUGGGAAUCUGCCCAGUCGUGGGGGAUAACGUAUGGAAACGUACGCUAAUACCGCAUGCGCCCUACGGGGGAAAGUCGGGGACCGCAAGGCCUGACGCGAUUGGAUGAGCCCAUGUUCGAUUAGCUAGUUGGCGGGGUAAAGGCCCACCAAGGCGACGAUCGAUAGCUGGUCUGAGAGGAUGAUCAGCCACACUGGAACUGAGACACGGUCCAGACUCCUACGGGAGGCAGCAGUAGGGAAUAUUGGACAAUGGGCGCAAGCCUGAUCCAGCCAUGCCGCGUGAGUGAAGAAGGCCCUCGGGUUGUAAAGCUCUUUUGUCCGGAAAGAAAAGCAAUCGGUUAAUACCCGGUUGUUCUGACGGUACCGGAAGAAUAAGCACCGGCUAACUUCGUGCC
rnacentral:rRNA from 1 species